rnacentral:ncRNA from 1 species
AACUUAUCCAGAGUGGCUGAGGGAUCUGGCCCUGUGAAGCCCGGCAACCUGCAGACGUAAUUGUAAGGUGCCAACUCCAGCAAAUCGCGGUUUCAAGCGUUUUGAAAGAUAAGGU